rnacentral:rRNA from 1 species
AAGUUCGGUUGUGAUAACCGCUGAAUGCAUAUAAGCGGGAAGCACUCCCCGAGAUGAGAUCUCCCAACCCGUAAGGGAUAAGAAGGGCCCAGGAAGACUACCUGGUUGAUAGGCAGGGAGUGGAAGCGCAGUGAUGCGCGUAGCUAACCUGUACUAAUCGCCCGUUCGGCUUGACCAUAAAA